UUCUUCGGAUGAUUGAUUGGUGACUGAGUGGCGGACGGGUGAGUAACGCGUGGGUAACCUGCCCUGUACAGGGGGAUAACAGUUGGAAACGGCUGCUAAUACCGCAUAAGCGCACAGAGCUGCAUGGCUCAGUGUGAAAAACUCCGGUGGUAUAAGAUGGACCCGCGUUGGAUUAGCUUGUUGGUGGGGUAACGGCUCACCAAGGCGACGAUCAGUAGCCGACCUGAGAGGGUGACCGGCCACAUUGGGACUGAGACACGGCCCAAACUCC
rnacentral:rRNA from 1 species